rnacentral:rRNA from 1 species
GAUGAACGCUGGCGGCGUGCCUAAUACAUGCAAGUCGAGCGAACGGACGAGAAGCUUGCUUUUCUGAUGUUAGCGGCGGACGGGUGAGUAACACGUGGAUAACCUACCUAUAAGACUGGGAUAACUUCGGGAAACCGGAGCUAAUACCGGAUAAUAUUUUGAACCGCAUGGUUCAAAAGUGAAAGACGGUCUUGCUGUCACUUAUAGAUGGAUCCGCGCUGCAUUAGCUAGUUGGUAAGGUAACGGCUUACCAAGGCAACGAUGCAUAGCCGACCUGAGAGGGUGAUCGGCCACACUGGAACUGAGACACGGUCCAGACUCCUACGGGAGGCAGCAGUAGGGAAUCUUCCGCAAUGGGCGAAAGCCUGACGGAGCAACGCCGCGUGAGUGAUGAAGGUCUUCGGAUCGUAAAACUCUGUUAUUAGGGAAGAACAUAUGUGUAAGUAACUGUGCACAUCUUGACGUUACCUAAUCAGAAAGCCACGGCUAACUACAUG